rnacentral:lncRNA from 1 species
AAACACGGCGGCAAUCAGUGCGCAUUUGAUAAGUUCCUCAUCUGGUACCACCUCUCGCCUUGACGACCCGCAUCAACCUCCAAUUGUGGAACAACGACGCAGAGAACUCUCACCGGCUAGUUGGUUCCAUCAAGUGGUUCAAAUCGGAACCCAUGAAUCCAUGGCAACACAGACUAAUUUGGAAGGGCACGGUGAACAAAGUAAAUUGAAAAAUUAUAUUUUUAAGUGAAACAUCUUUCGUGAAUUUGGUUUUUUAGUGGGCCUCUAAUUUUGUGUUUGUCGCAGUUGGUACAUCAAUUCAUCAGCUAUAGGAGGUCGUGACGUCCUUGCAAGGCUAUGUAUCCCUAGCUUGAGAUGGAGAAAUGGGAGCUCACGAUUCAGAUAGGAGAUAUUAUGUAACAAUUGGCCAAUAUUUUUCAAGAGCCGAAGAUCCCUAAAUAAGCGGCAGUACUCUAUGUUGAAGAAGACACUUUUGGGAGAGAUCUACUUUUAGUUGUUAACAUGGUUUGUUGUGGCUGUUUUGUUGUCUAAUACAAUUUGUGUCUGGUAUUAUUAGUUCGUAAUGGGUCUCUCAGUUGUAGACUGUUCACACUAGGUUGUUGCAAUUAGUUGUUGUUCUUUAACUUGGUUCGAUCCUAGUUAAGCAAUAAGUAUCCCACAAAAUAUGUAUCAUUGAAUGGUAACCUCCCCAAUUAAUGUAACUCGAAACCUUUCGUGUUCAUGUGCUAG